ACCACAGUGGUGCUGUAAAUCGCGGU
rnacentral:piRNA from 1 species